rnacentral:rRNA from 1 species
CCUACGGGCGGCAGCAGUGGGGAAUAUUGCGCAAUGGGCGAAAGCCUGACGCAGCGACGCCGCGUGAGGGAUGAAGGUCUUCGGAUCGUAAACCUCUGUCAGCAGGGAAGAACGGUCACGGGGCUAAGCAGCAGUGAAUGGACGGUACCGGCAAAGGAAGCACCGGCUAACGCCGUGCCAGCAGACGCGGUAAUACGGAGGGUGCGAGCGUUAAUCGGAAUUACGGGGCGGAAAGCGCUCGUAGGCGGUAUGUCAAGUCAAGGGUGAAAUCCCCGCGCUCACCGUGGGAACUGCCUUUGAACCUGGCAAACUGGAGUGUGUGAGAGGUUAGUGGAAUUCCAGGUGUAGGCGU